AUUGAACGCUGGCGGCAUGCCUUACGCAUGCAAGUCGAACGGCAGCACGGGUGCUUGCACCUGGUGGCGAGUGGCGAACGGGUGAGUAAUACAUCGGAACGUACCUUAUCGUGGGGGAUAACGCAGCGAAAGCUGUGCUAAUACCGCAUACGCCCUGAGGGGGAAAGCGGGGGAUCGCAAGACCUCGCGCGAUUAGAGCGGCCGAUGCCUGAUUAGCUAGUUGGUGGGGUAAAAGCCCACCAAGGCGACGAUCAGUAGCUGGUCUGAGAGGACGAGCAGCCACACUGGGACUGAGACACGGCCCAGACUCCUACGGGAGGCAGCAGUGGGGAAUUUUGGACAAUGGGGGCAACCCUGAUCCAGCAAUGCCGCGUGAGUGAAGAAGGCCUUCGGGUUGUAAAGCUCUUUUGUCAGGGAAGAAACACCGGCUCUAACACAGUCCGGGAAUGACGGUACCUGAAGAAUAAGCACCGGCUAACUACGUGCCAGCCGCCGCGGUAA
rnacentral:rRNA from 1 species